rnacentral:lncRNA from 1 species
CAGGCGUGAGCCACCGCGGCCGGCCUGUCUGCACUCUUUAUUCUUUAACUUUCGUUACAGUGUUACAUACAGAGAAGUGCACAGAGCAGAAGGGGAUGGCUAGCAAGUUACCACAACGCCUGGCAGAGAAGCAGAACUCUGGACAUCAACGAGCCCUCCUGGCGCCCCGCCCUGCCCCCCCGGGGCUGCUCUGUUUUUCAUCUGGCUUUCCUACCAGUGCGGGAAACGGAAGGAGGACUUUUUCUGGAAAAUCAGUGUCUGCGCUUCCCACCGGGCGGGUUGGACCUGAAGACACGUCCGUCCCGCGGAGAAUACGCGACACCGUGACCGACACGCGGCAGUCCUGCCUUAGAAGCGCGGCCGGGCCGGCGCGGGACCCGCAGCCUGGGGACCUUCCUCGCGCCCCAGAGGGGUCUGGGUGGAACGGGAAAAUUAAAAAUUAAAAAAAAAAAAAAAAACGGAAAGGCAAGAAAGGAAGAAGUCCGCUGGAGAACUCCGUGCGAAGGCCCCACUCCUACACGUCCCCGGCCUCAAGGGGAGACGAGGAAGAGAGCGGCCCAACCUGGGCCUGGGAGUAUCGUGACCCAUGUGUUUAAAGAACUAAAACGUGGCGUUAAAAAUAAGUGGACGGGACACCAUCAGAACUGUUUUUUUUGUUUGUUUUGUUUUUAGAUGGAGUCUCACUCUGUCGCCAGGCUGGAGUGCAAUGGCGCGAUCUGGGCUCACUGCAACCUCCACCUCCUGGGUUCAAGUGAUUCUCCUGCCUCAGCCUCCUGCACCCUCCUGUGUAGCUGGGAUUACAGGCACGUGCCACCACGGCUGCCUAAUUUUUGUAUUUUUAGCAGAGAUGGGGUUUCACCAUGUUGGCCAGGCUGGUCUCGAACUGCUGACCUCAGUUGAUCCACCCGCCACAGCCUCCCAAAGUUGGAAUUAAAGGUGUGAGCCACCGCACCCUGCCACACUGUCAGAAUUGAGGAGGCAGAUAUGAGAAACAUCUUAGGAAUAAAAAAGAAUAAAUGAAUUUGAAAACAAUGAAUAGGCUAAGCAGCAAAUUAGAUGCAAAUACAUAUAAAAUUAGCGAACUGGAAGAUAUAUUUGAAGAAGUCACCCAGAGUGCAACACAGACAAAGGGUGAAAAAUAAGUUCUCUUUAGUGGUUAGCAUUGUGAUGGAGUAAAAAGGCCCCACGUGGCCUAACUGGGGCUCUAGGAGGAAAAAAAGUGGAUUAAAUGGGCCAAGGUAAUAGGGAAGAGAUGUGAAUGGAAAGGCACCAUUUCUCAGACUCUGAAGCUUCAGAGAAUCUAAGCAGAGUGUGUUUGAAGAAAACCACAUCUGGACACACCUGUUGUAACUGGAGAUUCUCAAAGACAAAGAUUAUAAAAGCAACUGGAGAGAAGAAUGAGUAACUGUUGAACGGCACUGAAACCAACACCUAAACAGCAAUAGGGGAAGCCGUGAGAAGCAGAGGUCUCAAAUACCUGGGAGGAAACAGCUUUCAACAAGAACUGUUCAUCCCAUGAUAUACCUUUCAAGAAUGAGAGUAAAACAAAAGCAUUUGUAGUUAAACAAAAACUAAGACUUCCACUUUGAGCCACGACAGAAUAACUGGUCCAGAUUUACUCUCUCACCUUAAACAACUAGAAAGAAGGACAAAAUAUAUGCAAAAAUGUCUUUUGAGACAUGGGACAGCGGUCAGAAUUGGGCAGCAGUUACUGAGAGAGGAGAAACUAAUGAGGAGAGACCUUCCAGCCCCUGGCUACUGUCUGGAGAGGAGCUCCAGGCCAGAGCCUGAGAGGGGGUACCCAGAUAAGGCGGGGUCUUGCUGCGGCAGAGACUGAGUUAUAAGUUGGGGGAAGCCAAGGCAACCAGAAUUUUCAGGGCUGAGUACAAGAGAAGAGGGAGCUACAGAGAGAGAAAGAGAUGGGGAAGGAGAGAAAGAGAUGGGGGAGGAGAGAAAGAGAUGGGGUGAGAGAAGGCGAGAGGGAGACCCACCCAGAGAACUGUGGCUGAGCACUGAUCUACGCAUGCCUAUGAAGAAAUUACCUGAGGGGAAAAGAACCACUAGAAAGGAGGAGGCAGAACAUCCGGAGGAGCUCGAACAGGGCUGGGAUUGUUCGUGUUCCCACAAGCCAGAGUGGAAAGACCUCCUAAUUCAAAGGGCAUCGUGGAGGCUGCAGCAGGGUAGUGUGUCAGCAAUGGGGCCAGAUUAGCCCCAGGCUGAAGGACCCACACUAACGAGGCUUCUAAGCAAUCCUCAAAAGGAUUCCAACACAACCCAAGAAUAUUCAAAGUAAUACCAAAAAUUCAGCACCCACCCAUGUACCUUUCACAAUGUCUAUACCAUUCAAUCAAAAACUAUCACACAUAGAAGCAGGAAAAUAUGAUUCAUACCCAGGGUCAAAAUCCAUCAAUAGAAACAGACCCAGAGAAGACAGAUACAAUGGGAUUUGUAUACAAGAACAGUGAGGCAGUGCUAACUAGAUUUCAUAUGCUCAAAAAGGUAGAAGAAGGCAUGGGCGUGAUGAAGAGGUUCUUUUUCAAUGAACAUAAAACAAUUGCCAACAUUCCUUAACAGCAUAUAAAAUAGUGGUACAUCUUAAAAGUGGUGCUACCUUAAAUUUUUGGUGAAAUGUGGUAACAGCAUCUAUUACAACCUGCCUGGUGUUUAUCCCCCUUGGAAUGUAACCAUUACUUUAAUUUAUUUAUCAUUUUAGAAUGAAGUUGGGAGCAAGAGGGAGUGGACUCUCAUUCACUGACUUACUCAUUCUGUUAUCACAUGCGUACUGAAAAUUCAGAGUAAAACCUCGUACUGUGCAACCCAGAAUUUACCAAGAUGAGAAUAAUGAGAUAUAUAAACCAAUAACUCUACACAAAGUGCUGCAAGAGAAGAUUAACAUGAGACAGAAGGAGUUCAGAGGCGAGGAGAAGUCAAGGCUGGCCACACAGCAGAAGAGGAACUUUGGCUGGGCUUGGAUGAUGGGGCAUUUGGACAAGUGAAGCAGUGGAGAAUUUCUUUGAGGGACCUGGGCCUCCACCAGCCCUUUGUAUGAAUUAGAAAGGGACUUUUUCUCUGUUGCCCAACACUGCAGGUGCACUACUUGGGAAGUGAACGGCACCUUUGAAAUGAGGUGCUACUGAAACAAAAGCCUAAAACUGGGGAAAUCAUCUUAGGGAUGGAAGUGUGGGCUAAGAGACCUCAAUGAGACUGAUAGUAAAGUCUCAAAGUUCAGUGAGGGAACACCUGGAAAGAUGGAAAAGAGUGACUGCUGUCAUGUAGCAGCAGAAACGUUAGUUAAAAUAUCCUUUGGGGAAACCAGGACACCAAAAAAUAUACCACAUGAGCUUGUGGGUUUGACUGAAGAGACUUUGAGGCAGACUGUCAUAAUUGGCAACUGCUUUCUUUUAGCUGUGUGUAAUAUAGAUAAAAUAAUGAAGGAAUGUCCCAUUUUUGAGCAAAAUUUAAAGAAAAUAUAAAGGUGUCAGGACU